GCCUUCUCUUCCCAGUUCUUCCUGGAGUCGGGGAAAAGCUGGGUUGAGAAGGU
ensembl:miRNA MIR320E microRNA 320e